AGGACCUUUUUCCGUUCGUUUCGCGCGUCAAUAGAUUAAAAAUCGAAAUUAAUCGUAAUACAAGAGAGUGGAAUGGCAGAGAGGAAUAUUACUCCGAUUCGAGUUUGUUCACGACAAAGGUCCCUGGAUGAUGAUCUCUUGCACAAGCUGAGACCAAGUAUUUUCGCGAAUAGAGACGAACGACCUUGCGAUUCGGUUAAAGCCGCAACCGCAGUUGUCGGAGGGCUGACCGAUGUAAUCUCGGUGGAUCGUUUCCUUCGACUUAUCAGCUCGUUUUUCUUCCGUUGCAUUGUGCCAUUUAACUGCCCGGGGAAAAGUUGAAAAAAGAAAAUCGUAAGAAAGGGACUGUGAUACUUCCAGGUGCGGAGGAAGCGAUAAAAACUUGGGAGAGCAACUCGGGAGAUGUGGCGUGCAGAAAUCUAACGAUGAAGCGUGACCAUAUAACGUCACGGGUGCAUUAAGUGGUUAAAACGGAGCAGGAAGUGGUUCAUAAUCCUCGUACUACGUGUACACGGUAUAAGUAUGGCUGGAGAGAGGCUAUCCGUAUUUUGACCAUGCGAGAGAGUAGGCAGGCCAGACCCUGUGGUCGCAUCAAACAAGAUCAUUAUCUCUCUUGCUACAGGAUCCUCCUAGGAUCCUCCUUUAUCUGUAUCUGAAUAACAGAUGGAACAGAGUGGAACUCGGUUUACCGAGAAAAGACCAGUGGCCAGUAAGAAGAACGGCUAGAGAGAUCGUUUUAAAGAUGGGGAGAUACAAGGGAUAGGAAUGAGAAAUGGGAAACAAAAUGUUUUUUUUUUAAAGUGUUCGAGAAAAAACGUUGCUAUAUAUAUGAGAAAUUUGAAGAGGAACUUUUUUUUUUUUGGUAAUAAUAAUUAAAUAAACGGGCAUUUAUGCAAAAAUUGUGAAUGUAUGAAAUGUAUCUCGAGAAUGCACGACAUGCAAAAAUAUUCAAAGUAUUUUUAUGAGUAUGCAUUAUGGUAUUCGAGGAAUAAUGCAAGUUUCUAUUUAAACUCCAGUUCUUUAGUCAUGUUCAUAAAAAUUUAAUCUUGCAUAAGAAUCUGCAUUUUAUUAGCGAGAAAAUAUCAAGAAAUGGAAGUGUAACGUUGAAGGAAGUUUCGAGAACUAGAAAUUGCUGCAAUAAGAAAAGCAGCAUUGAAAUUUCUGAAAAAGAAAAUUGCAAUGGAAAGAAAAAAAGAAAAAAAAACAAGACAAGUUUCGAGGAAAGGUAUUGCAGAAAUUUUUUGGGAAAGAAGUUGCAAUAAUAGAGUAAAAGUUCAAGAAAGAAAUCUUUCAAUGAUACGAGAGCAAAAGAAAAAAAAGUACAGCAAUAAAAUAAAAAAUAAUAUAAAAAGAAAUAUAAUAUGGAUUCUGAAGAAAGCAAGUUAUACAUAUAGAAACGAAAAAAGAAUAAAAGGCAUCAGAAAAUGAAUAUGAUAAAAACAAGAUUGCAAGAAAUUGCAGCAGAUUAAAUGAAUAUAAGGCCAUAAAAAGAAUUCUAGUAACCAAAAAAAGUUGAACGAAAUUAUCGUAUUUCUUAUUAAUUUUUCUUUUGAUUUUCCAAUAGUUGACUUUAUUGCAACAAUAAUCAAAUUACACGAGCACAUCUAUUUUUUUUCUGAAUAAUUGAUAACAAUAAAUUUUGACAUCUCUUGCCUAUAAAAAAACGUAUCCAUAAAUUUAACAGAAUCAAUUUGUCGUUCGAGAAAGCUUGAUUUCUCAUCUCAUCAUUUCUUUUUUUUUCCAUUUUGAAAAAUUUAUACGCUUAUCUAAACGAAUAAUUGAUAAAUAGGUAAGUAGUAGAGAUCGUGAUAAGAGAUCCGUUAGUCGGUAAGAAUCAAUGGAACGAUAUUAUAAGAGCUUAUAGGCACGACAGCUGAUCGCGCUCAGCUGGUGUAGAAACUCCAAGGCCGCUUCGGUGCCCCAGGUGCGAAACGCUCGAUUAUGGCCGUAGACGAAACAAACGCCACGGCUCCUCCUUUGUUCCUUGACCCUUAUUUACGAAUCGAUUCCUUGGGAGAAAACGUUUCAAAGAAAGGAAAUAGAGGGUGCAUUUGUAGUGAUUCCACUGUUCCUAAGAAUUGAGUGGCAUUUAACUUUUUAAGCUCUCCUUUGACAGAGAAUGAUAUAAUUUUUCUUCUAGACAGACUUCCAACAAUAUUAUUCUACAUCUUCUUUCCAUUUUUAAUGAUCCGCCAUGAUGAAACUUAAACUUCUAAUAUAUCAUAUAUAAUACGAUUUUUUUUUAUAAUUCAUUAUAUAACAUGGAGCAAUUUAUAAAUUUAUUAACAUCAACGUUUUAUACGCGAUAUCGAGGUUGAAUACAUUGGAGAAAAAUUCACUCGCGUUUGUAAAUUCGAAAAUCGGCCAUUUUAAUUUUUUUAUUCCAGCUUGCUAUAUUUCUAGCUAAUCCCCUUUAAUUUAAAACUCCCUUUACAUCGUGGAAAUUAAUACAGCCUCGUGAAUGCACAAUUUGCACAAUUAGCACAAAUUAUUGCAUAUUUCCAACACCAUUAUAUAAUUUUCUAAACGAUCAUUCCGAUACACACCCAUCUUUCUUCAAAA